UAUCACCGAUCCGACCAGUUGCCCAAUACUUGGACAUGGCACCAAAGCCAUCGCCUCCGGAUGC
rnacentral:sRNA from 1 species